UCGUGGAGUAAUUUGUCUGGUUAAUUCCGUUAACGAACGAGACCUUAUCUCGCUAAUUGGGGGGUCAUAUUUCUAAUGUGUCCCUGCUUUUAGAAGGACGGUGAAUUCAUAAUUCGAGGAAGCGUGAGGCAAUAACA
rnacentral:rRNA from 1 species